GCUGACACAUCCCUGCCAAUCUCCGGCAGACCCUCCCUCCCAGACCCUCCCACCUCCUGGACAGCAUCCAUGUUGAAGCUGCCUUCAACAUGGAUGCUGUCCAGGAGGUGGGAGGGUCUAGGAGGGAGGGUCUGCUGGAGAUUGGCAGGGAUGUGUCAG